rnacentral:misc_RNA from 1 species
CGGACAGUUCCUCCGCUACAUUGACAACUGUCAUUUACAGGAUCCAUGUGGUUUAUGUGUGGACACCAGAGACAACCUCUUUGUGGCUGAGUACCACUCAGGUAAAGUGAAGAAAAUACAAUAUGUGUAGAACAUUACACAGCAGUGUAACAUUGUUUAUAUGUAUUACAUGUUGACAAACUGACUGUAUAUAUUAUACUUGUUUGUGUAUAACAGUUAAUUAUCUGUAUUAUAUAAUUAGUUUAUGUUAAUAAAUAAACACCUUCAUAUAUUCUUUACAUACCAACAAUACUACUGUUUAGUUUCUCUAUGUAAAUCGUAACAAACUCAUUGUUUUUGUGCAGUGAUUUUAAUGGUAAAAAAAUGACAGCAUAAAUAUUUUACUUUCCAAACAAACUAUUAUAUAUACAUGUGUAUAUAUAUAUAUGCUUGUCAUUAAAAGUUGAAAAGAAAACAAUCAAACAUUCUGUUUAAUGAACAUUGUAUAUCAAGAAUGAGAACAAGUGAAUGUUUGAAAAAAACCCAUUUAAUUUAUGUCAUUCUGUUGGAUGAGUAUAUCAUUGUGUAUAAUAAAUGAUUUGUAUAC